rnacentral:rRNA from 1 species
CCUACGGGCGACUGCAGUGAGGAAUAUUGGUCAAUGGUCGGGAGACUGAACCAGCCAAGCCGCGUGAGGGAUGAAGGUCCAGCGUAUCGUAAACCUCUUUUGUCAGGGAACAAAGGCGGGGACGCGUCCCCUUAUGAGUGUACCUGACGAAAAAGCAUCGGCUAACUCCGUGCCAGAAGCCGCGGUAAUACGGAGGAUGCGAGCGUUAUCCGGAUUUAUUGGGUUUAAAGGGUGCGCAGGCGGUCUGUUAAGUCCGCGGUCAAAGCCCGGGGCUCAACCCCGGCCCGCCGUUGAAACUGGCAGUCUCGAGUGGGAGAGAAGUAUGCGGAAUGCGUGGUGUAGCGGUGAAAUGCAUAGAUAUCGCGCAGAACUCCGAUUGCGAAGGCAGCAUGCCGGCUCCAAACUGACGCUGAGGCACGAAAGCGUGGGUAUCGAACAGGAUUAGAUACCCCAGUAGUC